UACGUAGGGGGCAAGCGUUGUUCGGAAUUACUGGGCGUAAAGGGCGCGUAGGCGGCACGGCAAGUCAGGAGUGAAAGGCCUGGGCUCAACCGAGGAACUGCUUUUGAGACUGCCGAGCUAGAGUGCAGAAGGGGCAACUGGAAUUCCCAGUGUAGCGGUGAAAUGCGUAGAUAUUGGGAAGAACACCUGAGGCGAAGGCGGGUUGCUGGGCUGACACUGACGCUGAGGCGCGAAAGCCAGGGGAGCAAACAGG
rnacentral:rRNA from 1 species